CCUGGCAGACCAACAACAGCGUGAUUGAUGGUUCCUCUGCUUUUGUCAUUUAUUUGCCUUGUUUUUUUCCCUUCCCCCAACAGAGCUGAUAAGGAAGGUUUUGCUAGAGAAUCAUGUAUCGCUUCUUUUUUUUCCCUCUGACCAGUGAGAUGCAGUUCUCUAUUACUCUGGCCACUUUUCAAGGGUGUAAAGUUAGAGGCGCUACUCUGCCCUCCCUUGAAGUAGCCGGCAUUUUGUUCGGGACCUCAAGUGGCGCCUGACCACCUCCGCCAGUCUUGGAGAUGACAGAUCCGUUUACAGCGCUGCCGAGUGAAGUCAUAUUAAGUCGUCCGUCUCUGCCAAAUGCUAUUCAUUGUGAGAUCUGCCUCAUAAUAAAGCAUGAUGGAUUGCUUCUUUUGGCCAGAGAAUAACUUAACCUCUGACUCGAGAUGGAGGCAUAAGCAAGAUCAGUUUCAGUUGUUGGAGAAAAAUGAAGUCCUUGUCCAGGCACACAGUCCACUGCAUGGAAAAUAUGGGGUCACUGUUCCUAAGAGGCAACUCCCUUUUUCCUGCAAGUUGAUUAUUUGUUGGUUUUACUGGAGACAGUCCUGCCUUGGAGACAGUGAUGCUCAUGGUGAGACUGGGGUGGGAAGGUUGGCUGAGGAAGAG
rnacentral:lncRNA from 1 species